CAACUAGUCCCUAUGUCCCAAAAUUUUUGUCUUAGAUUUGUCUAGAUAGGGAUGUAUCUAAUACUAAAAUGUGACUUGAUACAUCUGUAUCUAGACAAAUCUAAGACAAGAAUUUUGGGACGGAGGGAGUACUUU
rfam:Triticum urartu cultivar G1812 contig468585, whole genome shotgun sequence.